rnacentral:tRNA from 1 species
UGGGCUAUAGUCAAGCGGUGAAGACACAGGUCUUUGACACCUGGAUGCCCGGGUUCAAAUCCCGGUAGCCUAG